rnacentral:lncRNA from 1 species
UUUUUUUUUUUUUUUUUUUUUUGAGACCAAACAAGUUUUGCUCUUGUUGCCGGCUACGAUGCAAUGGCACGAUCUCGGCUCACUGCAACCUCUGCGUCCCAGGUUCAAGGGAUUCUCCUGCCUCGGCCUCCUGAGUAGCGGGACUAUUGGUGACUGCCACCACACCUGGCUAAUUUUUUGUAGUUUUAGUAGAGAUGGGGUUUCACUAUGUUGGCCAGGCUGGUGUCAAACUCCUGAGCUCAGGUGAUCCACUCACCUUGGCCUCCCGAAGUGCUGGGAUUACAAGCGUGAGCCACUGUACUCAACCUUAUUGACUGAUUUUUCUUGUUAUUCAGGAUUGGGAAAGGGACCAAUUUCCUGCGAGAUGGUGGGAAGGAAUUUCCUGGAAGCACAGUGGGCAGAAUAUUUCCUUAUGGUCUGACGGCAGCUGCCACAGCCCCCAGUCCCAGUCCUCAAUGACAGAGGCCUUGGGGCUUUCUUCUGCUCGCUCUUUCUUCAGAGAGGGAAGUCCCAGGAGUCUCUGCACACUUUCCCUUGUGUGUCAUGGGUGAGAACAGGACUGUAGCUUAUCAGGAGAAAAGGGGAAGAAGAUGCUAGCGGAGUUGGUCCAAGCCUGAUUCAUGCUGUGGGGAUGAGCAUGGCUCAGAUUCAAAGGACUUCUACCAGUGACAAUAUUGCUCAUAUGGCACUUCCCAACUCAACCCUCACGGCAAUCCUAUGAGGUGGUGCUACCAUCUUUGCUUUACAAAUGAGGGCAGUGUGGCCCAGAGAGGCCAAGAAGAUUACCUGGGAGCAUACAGCUACGGCAAAGAAGUAGAGCCAAAUCUGACCCAAGCUACCUGGCUCCAGGGUCGGCGUCCACACCCACUGUGCAGAAGUGUCUUCAAAGUGGGCACGGUGACCAGGCAGGGGGCCAGCUGGGGGGGUUGCCACAGUCAACUCUCAUUUCCAGCCGUAAGAGUCUCACAACGAAUAUCGCAGGGUGGUCUGUGGGUGUUAUGAUCCCCAUUUGACAGAUGAGGAGAUGGAGGCUUAGAGGUUAGUGCCUUGCCCCAGGGCAAGGUAAAGAGCUGGGAGUGCAGCUGAGACCUCUGAGAGCUGGACUACCUCUGUCUGGGCCCUUCUCCCUAUAAUAGUGGGACAUUUUUAUUAGGUGGCUCUGUUUGAUGAACACAAUGAGGUUGUCAAGAGAAGCAAGUUGCAAAAUGCUUGACUUCCCUUUGAAAUAUAAUUAUACGUAUACAUUAUAUUAUGAAUGAGACAAAAAUCUUCAUGCCCACGCAGGAGGCCAUGAGAUGCCCAAAGCGUUGGGAACCUCCCUGUACCUGGUGUUAGGACAGGGGCAAUGGAGACGAUUUCAGACAAGAUGGAUCAGGGAGACAGAUUCAUAGACCGGGGCUCAGGACCUUGGUGUCCCAUCCCUGGUGGAAGGGUUUGACUCCUGCUUUGGGGGCUUGGAGAUAACUUUUGAUGUGGCAGCAAGAACAUUGGCUUUGGAGCCAGAGAGUUUUGGGCUCAGUCACUGUUUCUACCAAAUCAUAAACUGUGGGGUGUGGGGUACAUUAUCUAAUCCUUCUGGGUCUCAGUAUUUUCAACUGUAAAAGGAAGUAGGAUAUACUUGUGAGGAUUUGUGGAGUUAUAUGGGUUAAAGGUUUUUUGUAAAACGCUCUGGAAAUUGUAAAAUGCUCUGGGAUUUUCUUAUUGUCACUUCAUCCAGAGAUGUCCAUGCUCUUCGGACU